rnacentral:tmRNA from 3 species
GGGGAUGUAUUUGGUUUCGACAGUAUUCUAGAAGGAUAAAUAGCGAGUAGUGGAGAUGCCUGGCCACUUAAAAAGGCAUAUCUUAAAUAUAAACGCUGAUAAUAAAGAAUUAGCUUACGCUGCCUAAUUGCGGCGACGUCUUACUUUUGCAACCUACGGCUUAAGAUAAGGCGACGAUUAGUAGGAAACGAAGUUAGUAUGAGCUAUUUAUACUAAUGGGAAUUUCAAGAUAGCUACUUUAAAUAAACUUUGUUUAUUAGGAAUAUUUAAAGGAAAAAUUUUAAUAAACUGCACUCGGAGAAGUUUAUUUGGAAGGAAUAUUGGACAGGAGUUCGACUCUCCUCAUCUCCACCA